rnacentral:rRNA from 1 species
AAAAAAGGUAAGCUACUAAGAGCGAAUGGUGGAUGCCUUGACUGGUAAAGGCGAUGAAGGACGUACUAGACUGCGAUAAGCUACGGGGAGCUGUCAAGAAGCUUUGAUCCGUAGAUUUCCGAAUGGGGCAACCCAAUGUAUAGAGAUAUACAUUACCUAUAUAGGAGCGAACGAGGGGAAUUGAAACAUCUUAGUACCCUCAGGAAAAGAAAUCAAUAGAGAUUGCGUCAGUAGCGGCGAGCGAAAGCGUAAGAGGGCAAACCCAGUGCUUGCACUGGGGGUUGUAGGACUGCAAUGUGCAAGAGGUGAGUUUAGCAGAACAUUCUGGAAAGUAUAGCCAUAGAGGGUGAUAGUCCCGUAUGCGAAAAACAAACCUUAGCUAGCAGUAUCCUGAGUAGGGCGGGACACGAGAAAUCCUGUCUGAAGCUGGGUCGACCACGAUCCAACCCUAAAUACUAAUACCAGAUCGAUAGUGCACAAGUACCGUGAGGGAAAGGUGAAAAGAACUGAGGUGAUCAGAGUGAAAUAGAACCUGAAACCAUUUGCUUACAAUCAUUCAGAGCACUAUGUAGCAAUACAGUGUGAUGGACUGCCUUUUGCAUAAUGAGCCUGCGAGUUGUGGUGUCUGGCAAGGUUAAGCAAACGUGAAGCCGUAGCGAAAGCGAGUCUGAAUAGGGCGCUUAGUCAGAUGCUGCAGACCCGAAACGAAGUGAUCUAUCCAUGAGCAAGUUGAAGCUAGUGUAAGAACUAGUGGAGGACUGAACCCAUAGGCGUUGAAAAGCCCCGGGAUGACUUGUGGAUAGGGGUGAAAGGCCAAUCAAACUUCGUGAUAGCUGGUUCUCUCCGAAAUAUAUUUAGGUAUAGCGUUGUGUCGUAAUAUAAGGGGGUAGAGCACUGAAUGGGCUAGGGCAUACACCAAUGUACCAAACCCUAUCAAACUCCGAAUACCUUAUAUGUAAUCACAGCAGUCAGGCGGCGAGUGAUAAAAUCCGUCGUCAAGAGGGAAACAACCCAGACUACCAGCUAAGGUCCCUAAAUCUUACUUAAGUGGAAAACGAUGUGAAGUUACUUAAACAACCAGGAGGUUGGCUUAGAAGCAGCCAUCCUUUAAAGAAAGCGUAAUAGCUCACUGGUCUAGUGAUUUUGCGCGGAAAAUAUAACGGGGCUAAAGUAAGUACCGAAGCUGUAGACUUGAUUUUA